rnacentral:siRNA from 1 species
AGAAAAACUUACAAACAGGAUC